AACAAAUGAGAUUCUUGAAAACAAAUUUCUUAGAUUUCUUCUUUAAUUUCUUCACAACUUUAAGAGAAGCCCUCACCAGUCUUAAAUCAGCUUCAGUGAAAAGUGAACUCCCCCAAUACUCAUCCUGCCUAUCUGGUUUGGAUGGUAAUGAGGAGCAGGAUGUGGGUCAGGAGUUCAAACAGCCUGUUGUGUGUUGACCUGCAAGCUGCCAAGGUCACUCAUCACGGAGCCGAGGUUUGGCUCUGACUCUAAACACAGCCAGCUCUCAACCUGAAGCCUGCCUUUUCCUCUGAUCUGCUGACUCACUCUGCACAUAGCGGGCCGAGGAAUACCAGGAAGAGCUCUCUGGGAUAAAGCGGGAGCUUCGCAGUGAAUUUGGUACCCAGGCUUCGUCUCAGUCGUGCCAUCCUUGCGGGUACCUUCGGUGCCAUAGUUUCAUUGGGAUUAACCACAUGGUGCUGCCUAGCUUGGAUGCAUUCCCAGCAAUGAACUGAUGCUGGGCUAGCUGGAUGAACAGAAGGUCAGGACAUGCCACAACAUUGUGUAAUGCUGGUGAGAGCACCCAGGCGGUGCCAAGCGGCGCCAGUAUCAGCCCAGGAUCUGAUUUAGGUGACAGCCUUGUGGUGAUUUUUAUUACUUUUUAUUCAUCACGGUAUCACACAGUGAGUCUGCACUGUGUAAAUAUUUAAUGGAUCUACCAUACCUAAUGGUAGAUGUGAGAUUUCACAAAGUACAUGCUGCAAUGUGACAUUAACAUGUAAACGAGACGAUAAGGAAACAGAGUCUUGGAUUAUUUCUUGAAGAAAGUGGUGACAGAAAUUUAUCUCUUGCUUCCUCUAUUUACAUUGCUGCUGUAUGAGUCAUCAUGUUACAUGUUUGUGCCUGUCCUUAUACUUUUAAACCCUCUUCUUCCCUCUUUCACAUCCUGCGAUUUGAAGCCUGUAGUCUGACUGUAAAACAAUAGAGCCUCUCUGCCUUAAUUAAACACUGAAAGAUUAAUUUACAUGUCAGCACUGUUUGCCAGUCUGAUGUGUCGUUCACAGGAAGCUGACAUCAUUAUCUGUCUGACUCCUGGAGCCUCCUGCUCAUCUACACGAAAAUGCAAUUUAAGAUGAAUUUAACAGUUUUUGUGAACAUGAUUAUGAACGUGGAAAAAGUAAUAUCCUCAUUAACCAUGCAACAUUAGUCUGUAUCUUUUUUAAAUAACCCUGCAUUCAAUUGUAGUUAUAUGCAGAACCAUUGUAUGUGCGGUGGGCCACCUCCUCUAGGGGCCUCGAGCCUUGCCUGAAAUCCUGCAGGAUUCUUUUCAUAAUCUAAUAUGUGCAUAUAACAGACUGACUGGUUAUUAAAAAUGAUUCUAAAAAUGAAAUUACUGCCCUAUAUACUGUUUGAAAAUAGUUCUUAAUUCAUAAAAAUCCCUGC